rnacentral:rRNA from 1 species
UACGUAGGGCGCAAGCGUUGUCCGGAAUUAUUGGGCGUAAAGAGCUCGUAGGCGGCUUGUCACGUCGGGUGUGAAAGCCCGGGGCUUAACCCCGGGUCUGCAUUCGAUACGGGCAGGCUAGAGUGUGGUAGGGGAGAUCGGAAUUCCUGGUGUAGCGGUGAAAUGCGCAGAUAUCAGGAGGAACACCAAUAGCGAAGGCAGCUCGCUGGGACGGUACUGACGCUAAGGCGCGAAAGCGUGGGGAGCGAACAGG